rnacentral:rRNA from 1 species
UACGUAGGUGGCAAGCGUUAGCCGGAAUUAUUGGGCGUAAAGCGCGCGCAGGUGGUUUCUUAAGUCUGAUGUGAAAGCCCACGGCUCAACCGUGGAGGGUCAUUGGAAACUGGGAGACUUGAGUGCAGAAGAGGAAAGUGGAAUUCCAUGUGUAGCGGUGAAAUGCGUAGAGAUAUGGAGGAACACCAGUGGCGAAGGCGACUUUCUGGUCUGUAACUGACACUGAGGCGCGAAAGCGUGGGGAGCAAACAGG